UCUCAGUUCGGACUGCAGUCUGCAACUCGACUGCACGAAGCUGGAAUCGCUAGUAAUCGCGGAUCAGCACGCCGCGGUGAAUACGUUCCCGGGCCUUGUACACACCGCCCGUCACACCAUGGAAGUCUGCAAUGCCCGAAGCCGGUGGCCUAACCACUUAUGUGGAAGGAGCCGUCUAAGGCAGGGCAGAUGACUGGGGUGAAGUCGUAACAAGGUAUC
rnacentral:rRNA from 1 species